GCCGAACGCUGGCGGCGUGCUUAACACAUGCAAGUCGAGCGGAGCGGCGAACGGGUGAGUAACGCGUGAGUAACUGCCCCCCUCUCUGGGAUAACAGUUGGAUACGGCUGCUAAUACUGGAUAGUGGGGGAUGACUCGCGUCCUAUCGGCUUGGCGGAGGGGUAGUGGCCUACCAAGGCGACGACCGGUAGCCGGCCUGAGUGGGCGACCGGCCACAGUGGGCUGAGAUACGGCCCAAACUCCAACGGGAGGCAGCAGUGGGGAAUCUUGCACAAUAGGGGAAGCCCUGGAGCAGCAAUCCGGGUGCGGGAGGGCGGCCUUCGGGUUGUAAACCGCUUUCAGCCAUGACGCGGUAGUGGCAGAAGAAGCACCGGCUAACUACGUGCCAGCCGCCGCGGUAAUAC
rnacentral:rRNA from 1 species